AGUAUCGCUGCACGUGCAAAAAAGAAACUAUUGGCACGAACUUAGCGCACACGCAUAACUAAAAACAAGCAGUAGAAGAAGAAGAGGCAUAAGUCGAGAGAGAGCGCAUCCAAUUGGAUGUCGGACUGUCAGACGGACACGCACUAUCUUCUAAGUAAAGAAAGUGGCCCACUGGCAAAAAUACGAAAGAAAGAAAAUCAAUUAAAAGAAGAAGCAAAGGCAGCUGAAGCUUGAAACAAGUGCAAGAAAAAAGUGCUCAACAAAAGUCAUAAUUAUAAUAAUUAUACAAGAA
rnacentral:sRNA from 1 species